AUUGAACGCUGGCGGCAGGCUUAACACAUGCAAGUCGAACGAGUGGCGGACGGGUGAGUAAUGCUUGGGAAUCUCGCUUAUGGCGGGGGCUAACUACGGGCACCUGUAGCUAAUACCGCGUACCAUAGGAUGAGCCCAAGUGGGAUUAGGUAUUUGGUGAGGUAAAGGCUCACCAAGCCGACGAUCUCUAUCUGGUCUGAGAGGAUGACCGGCCACACGGGGACUGAGACACGGCCCAGACUCAAGAGGAAGGCAGCAGAGGGGAAUAUUGCGCAAUGGGGGCAACCUGACGCAGCCAGGCCGCGGGAAUGAAGAAGGCCUUCGGGUUGAAAAGUUAUUUCGGUAGCGAGGCGUUAACUACAGAAGAAGCACCGGCUAACUCCGUGCCAGCCGCCGCGGUAAUUC
rnacentral:rRNA from 1 species